UUCUCUGACUCUCCGCUGUUUAUUUCGCUCCACAAAGCCCUCAAACGUCACAGCUGAUUUCUAUAAAGAUGGAUCACUGCUCCAGACCCAGACGACAGGAGAGAUGAUCAUCCGUACUGUCUCAAAGUCAGAUGAAGGUCUCUACCACUGUAAACACCCAGAGAGAGGAGAGUCACCACAGAGCUGGCUCUCAGUCAGAGGUGAUUCUGCAGCUCAGCCCGGUGAUGUCACUCAUGCUCAGAUUGUGACUACUGAAACGUUUCUUGAAAGAAAUGUAUCAGAUGAAGCAAUGCCAAGACUAAAUGAUGUGACAUUCUCAAAUCAAGAUGAAAAACCUGAAACACUGUGGAAAAGCCGCUUCUCCGUCAGGGUCGCAAGGGGGUGCUGGAGCCUAUGAGGAAGAGAAUCUGCCUUUAGAACUCAUCAAAAUCCAGUGUGAUGAUUCUCUGAAGAAUCAACCUCAGCAGCUUUCCCUCCCCGAGUUCUACCGGGGCUUGGAAAAGGAAAAGUUUCCUCUGAUGAGACGCCACGUGAAAAAAAUGAUCAUUCUAUUUGGCUCAACAUACAUAUGUGAGCAAACAUUUUCGCUGUUAACACUGAACAAAAGCAGAUUGAGAACCAAAAUGACCGACAGCCAUCUCCAUAAUGUCCUUCGCAUCUCAACCACUAAGUUUACUCCAGACCUGCCAGCCAUCCUUCGCUCCAAAGCGCAGCAGCACUGCUCCCACUGAGUGCAAUGUCGUUCCCACUUUAGAGUACAAAGUCAGCUGAUCUCAUCUGAUGCAGAUGUGCUACUUGAUCAAAUUACAUCUGUCCGGAUUUUUGGC